AAUUUGAGAACUAAACAGGGUCCAACGCGCGCGAAUCUGGCUGCUUGGCGGCGGCGCCAAUCCACGGGUCCAACGGCAGCGGCAAAGCCUACACCGCUUCAGAGCCCUUGCGACAAGAGCAGGCAGGUUGGCUCCCGCGAAUCCAAGCAGAGAUGAUCCGCCACCUCCUGCCGCAGCGGCCGCGCCGCCAGUUCAAUCGCCAUUGUUAAUCAAUCUUCUUCCGGGUUAUCCCAUGCGCCGCCGCUCGCUGCCUGCGCACAACGCCAAGCUUCCUCGCCAGAGGACACUGCUCGCUCGGCUGCAUCGGCUCCGGCCACCGUCCCGGCGUCCCCUGGCAAUUCUCGCGCAUUACACUUGCAAGGAGGCGGCGCUCGAGGUGCUCGACGCUUUGCCUACAAGGAACACUGAGUGUUCCCUGCCUAUCUCGCUGCCCUAUUGGCUUUCUCAAGUACAGUAUUCUCUGUUCUUUCUCAUACAUGAGUGCAAAGACAUGAUCGCUGCUGUGUUAUUGCUUCUCCACAUCAGGCAUCACUAAUGUAUUUCUGAUCCUUUAAAGCAAUUUGUUUGAGGCAGGCUCAACAAAGUUAAUUUCCUUUCCUUAGGUAAGUGUUCCUGUUGCUUUAGUGAGGCCAAAUGCAAGGAAGGAGACCGGCUAGGCCGAACUGAUUCAACUGAUCCCCCAUCUACCUGGCCAGUUACUGCGAAAUUAUUCAGAAAUCCUGUCAAAAUAACAUGAGUUCCUCCACACAUUUAUCCUGCCUGGCAAUUGUUCGGUUUAAUUCUCCCUCUAUAGUGUUCAAUUAUUCACAAAACCACAGCUCACUGUCGCUGCUCGCCAAUCGCCAUAGCUGUACCUGUACACUAGAGGCUCCAGAGCAAGGAGCAACACAUACGUACCACGCCAAGCAUGCCAUUAUUUUUUUAUUUUACACUAAUUAUCAACCACCCCCACAGGGUUACGGAGCUUGCAGUCUGCUGGAUCUAUGCUUUCGUGGUGUUUGGGCCGGCGUUAAUGCUCUCGAGGUAGCGUUCGACAAUGUCGAGGCCACAGAGCUCCUUGAUGACGGGCAUUGUCGCUGGCACAUCCAUCUGGAACGUGACGGUGGAGUUUGCGGGGCCGGUGCAGACCGAGAACUCUUUCCUGGCAGCCCUGAUGGCCUCCCUCAUCGCGCAGUGCACCGAGGAUGCGAGAAGAAGCGGCGGCUCGCCCGACGCUGGCUGACAAGGUCUGCAAGAAUGUUCAUGGGGAUGAAAAUUCGUGAGAGCAGGUUCACCUUUUGAAGAGAGGACACGCUUCCUGUCACGGGCGCUGUUGAUCAGCUCGACAUUGAACUGCUUCGGGAUGGUGUCAACUGUGGGGAUCUUGUACGUCCAUGUGCUGUCGUGGAUGACCAUGCCAUCGGAGUUCGUCUUGUACUCCUCAUUUGUGAAGAAGCCCACUCCUUGGAUGAAUGCGCCUUCGACCUGGGUGAAUCAAGAACAGUGUUCAGAGCAGCACAUUUCCAUUGGCGAUGUUUCUGCACGAGCAGUUAUUAUUUGGCACUAACCUGGCCAAGGUCUACUGCAGGGUUCAGGCUCUGCCCGCAGUCAUACAUGAGGUCGCUCCGUAGGAUUGUCGUUGCUCCUGUCAGGACAUCAAUCUCAACCUGUGAUGAAAUUUCCAAUAACGUGUCAGCAUUGAGCAGGAAUGAAGCUGCAGCCUCCAAUGGCUUUGGUUUCUUGAUUGCAUUUGCAGUGCUUUAUUGCAACUGGGAGCAGGGAUACCUCACUGAUGCCAGCUCCGUAGUUCAAGUAACUUUUGAAUGUUGGAUCAGGGGUCCAGUAUGCAUGUGCUGAUAAGUUCACACUCGCCAUACUUGCCUGCAAGUGACGAAAAAAUGCCAAGAACAAUUGAAACAGUUAGAUAGUGACUUCCUCACACUUAAUAAUUGCUACUGCUACCAAUUGCAGUAUAUCGAUGAUAGAAAGGAGGGAGGCAGAAGAUUCAAAUAACUGUAACUCCUGGCAUCUCUUCCAAUCAGGUUAACUUGCAUGUUACCGACAAAAUUUGUUUUCAUAAGGUUUAUUCUCAUGUUUUCAUAAGGUUUAUUCUCACCUGAGCAAUCAAUGCACUCCAUUCCACUGUGCCAGUCUUAGCCUCCAGACUCUCCUUUAUAGGAUUCAGCCUUUCAACAAGUUCAGUGCACGACUGUCGAACAGCUUCACAGCUAUUUUCAGAAGUGGUGCUCCCACCGGUGAACCCUCCCUGGAUCAUGCUCAGUGAGUCGGCCUGGAUAACUCGCACCUUGUCAAGGAGGCAUUCACCGCCAUCAGGACACAGCUUUCCCAACCCAAAUGCCGUCAUCUGCUUCACUUUCGUCCACAAGCCUUGACCUAUCUCAAUUCCUCCAACCUCGACAGCGAUGGAACCAUCAUUCAUGAUGGACACCUUGCCUGGAGAUGGAUGGAGAUUUACCUCAUACGUGAUUGGCACACAAGAAAUGCCGCAUUUCUUCCAUUUGUUGCUGCUAUUGAAGUGAUCUACUAUUGUAGCUCUGCGCUGAUAGUCUGGAGAUGAUGCUAGCUUAUCGAACAUGGAGACCAGGCUGUAGGUAGGAGCUUCACCUGCACUUUCUCCAUAGAACACUGCAAGGCUUUCGAAGUCAUGAAGGUUCCUCCUUCUGAUGGUAUUUGUGUCGACCGAGAGCGUCGAGGCAACAUGCUCAAUGAUGGCUUCUGCAAUGAAAGAGCCCUGCACAUCUCCAGGAGCCCGCAUUGUUGAUUUGGAUGAGACAUUUGUCUUGCAGACCUUGAUGUCAAAAGCAAGAGCACCCCAGUUGUACUUUUUGAAGCCACCUAUGAUAGUAGACGGCAACAAUGCACUCAAAUCCAUUGCUAUUCCAGCAUUGAGACCAAGAUCGAGGUGUAUGGCUGUGAUUUUGCCAUCUGACUUGAAUCCAACUGAGUACUUCGCCUUCAUAGGAUGCCGCCCACCUGCUAUUAUCAUGUCUGUCUUGCGAUCAAGGUACAUCUUAACAGGACGCCGCAGCUUGAAUGCGGCAACGGCACAGGCACAGGCAACCUGACAAAUAGGAAUCUUUUGGUCAUCUCUAACACAUUUGCAUUUCAAAUAGCCUUAUGUUUUGACCAUGAACUUCAGCUGACUGUACAUUUGUAUUUGAAGAUCUAAGAUGUUUAGCAAAGCAAAGCUCUAGUUACUAGUUAGUCAGGACUUACAUGAAUUGCUUUCAUUCCUUUUCCACCAAAGCCUCCUCCGACUCUUCUGGUAAUCACACGCACAUUGUGAAAUGGAAUGCCAAGGCACCUUGCAACCACAUUUUGUGUGAUCUCAAUCAAUUGCGUUGAGGAAUAGAUGGUUAUGCAGUUGUCUUCAUCUGGAAUAGCUAGUGCCACUUGUGUCUCCAUGUAGAAGUAGUACUGGGAUUCAAGUUUUACCUGUGGAAACGAAAAACAGUUGGUGUGCGUGUGGCCUCACUGGAAACUAAGAGUUUUAGCUCUUGACAUAACAAAGUAUGUACCUCUGCUGAUAAAAUUUUGUGAUCAGCUUCAGACAUCCCUUGGUUGUAAUCACCAACUGGCUUUGGAGUUAAAAAUGGUGGAGUUUGGAAGUAGCUGUUGUGUUGGAUGGCAUCUUCUAUUGUCAGAAUUGGUGGCUGCAGAUUUUCUGUGCUAUACUCGACAACAGCUUGUUUUGCAGCCAUAUAAGCAUAACUCUGUGUUUCAGCAAUCUGAGUGAUUGAAAAGCAACAUGACAAGCAAAUUCAGCAAGUUGGUCUGCAAAAAGUGCUUCAUCUGCCAGCCUUGGAAAGCUGGAUCCUAUGUUUUCUCCGCCGCUUGGAAUAUCCUUCGCGGUGAUGACUGCGAUGACCUUCUGUGAGGCCAAAGACAGCUUGAAGUUGAUGCCCUUCACAUAAGCGCGGGGAAAUGUGCUGUAGAUAAAUGCUCCAUAGAGGCAAUCCUUAGGAGCAGGGAUAUCAUCAACGUACACAGCCUCUCCUGUGUAAGUAAAAUGAACAUGGUUAAGUGCACAUGAGUUACAGUAACCAUAACAUGUGGAGAAAUAUGCUGAAGAAAGAGGUUGCAAACUGAAGUUCAAGCUAUGGAAAUCAAAUUUAUGGUAAAUCAGUUUCUACAUUUGAAAGAUAAUAUGUACCAGAAGCUUGGAGUUCUGCCCCUGUUUUCUUGAUCGGCUUGCCAACUGGCUUGUAUUCAUUACUGAAAACCAUUUCUUGCCUUGAGCGUAUUGGCGAAUCACUACUGUCAAUCUUAA